rnacentral:rRNA from 1 species
UGAGUACGAGAUGCUACGGCAUCGAAGCAGUCUAUGUCAUACUUCCAAGAAAAGCUUGCAAUGUCAUAAACAAAUAAUGCCUGUACCAUAACCGACACAGGUGGGUAGGUAGAGUAUACUAAGGGGCGCGAGAUAACUCUCUCUAAGGAACUCGGCAAAAUGACUCCGUAACUUCGGGAGAAGGAGUGCCUUAUUUUUAUAAGGUUGCAAUAACAAGAUCCAAGCAACUGUUUACCAAAAACACAGGUCUCCGCUAAGUCGUAAGACGAUGCAUGGGGGCUGACGCCUGCCCAGUGCCAGAAGGUUAAAGAAGUUGGUUAGCAUUAGCGAAGCUGAUAACUGAAGCCCUGGUGAACGGCGGCCGUAACGAUAACGGUCCUAAGGUAGCGAAAUUCCUUGUCGGGUAAGUUCCGACCCGCACGAAAGGCGUAAUGAUUUGGAUACUGUCUCGGAGAGGGGCUCGGUGAAAUAGACUUGUCUGUGAAGAUGCGGACUACCUGCACCUGGACAGAAAGACCCUAUGAAGCUUUACUGUAACUUGAGAUUGAAAUUGGACUUUAUCUGCGCAGUAUAGGUGGGAGACGUUGAAAAUAUUCUUGCGGGAAUAUUGGAGUCAUCAGUGAGAUACCACUCUUAUAAUGUUAGAUUUCUAACUUUGUAUCAUUAUCUGGUCAAAGAACAGUUUCAGGCGGGCAGUUUGACUGGGGCGGUCGCCUCCCAAACGGUAACGGAGGCGCACAAAGGUUUCCUCUGAACGUGUAGAAAUCGUAUCUAGAGUGUAAAGGCAUAAGGAAGCUUGACUGUGAGACCUACAAGUCGAGCAGGGACGAAAGUCGGUCUUAGUGAUCUGACGGUGCUGAGUGGAAAGGCCGUCACUCAACGGAUAAAAGUUACUCUAGGAUAACAGGCUGAUCUCCCCCAAGAGUUCACAUCGACGGGGAGGUUUGGCACCUCGAUGUCGGCUCAUCGCAUCCUGGGGCGGUAGUACGUCCCAAGGGUUGGGCUGUUCGCCCAUGAAAGCGGUACGCGAGCUGGGUUCAGAACGUCGUGAGACAGUUCGGUCCAUAUCCGGUGUAGGCGUUAGAAUAUUGAGAGGAGCCUUCUUUAGUACGAGAGGACCGAGAAGGACAUACCUCUGGUGUACCAGUUAUCGUGCCAACGGUAAACGCUGGGUAGCCAUGUAUGGAGAGGAUAACCGCUGAAAGCAUCUAAGUGGGAAGCCCACCUCAAGAUAAG